CAAGGUUUCCGUAGGUGAACCUGCGGAAGGAUCAUUCGUGAUGGACGCAAGUCCUUAACAAAUCCUUUAACACCUGUGAACCGUGGCCCUCGGGCCGUUUCAAACAUCAGUGUAAUGAACGUGAUUUAUUUAUAAAACAAAUAAAACUUUCAACAACGGAUCUCUUGGCUCUCGCAUCGAUGAAGAACGCAGCGAAAUGCGAUAAGUAAUGUGAAUUGCAGAAUUCAGUGAAUCAUCGAAUCUUUGAACGCACCUUGCACCUUUUGGUACUCCGAAAGGUAUGCCUGUUUGAGUGUCAUGAAAUCUCAAUCCCCUCGGGUUUUGUUACCCGGGGUGGACUUGGACUUGGGCGCUGCCACCCGUGGCUCGCCUCAAAUGUGUUAGUGGGAUGUAGUGUCCGCGACCAGACGGGGGAAAAAUUUAGUCGUAACAAGGUUUCCGUAGGUGAACCUGCGGAAGGAUCAUUCGUGAUGGACGCAAGUCCUUAACAAAUCCUUUAACACCUGUGAACCGUGGCCCUCGGGCCGUUUCAAACAUCAGUGUAAUGAACGUGAUUUAUUUAUAAAACAAAUAAAACUUUCAACAACGGAUCUCUUGGCUCUCGCAUCGAUGAAGAACGCAGCGAAAUGCGAUAAGUAAUGUGAAUUGCAGAAUUCAGUGAAUCAUCGAAUCUUUGAACGCACCUUGCACCUUUUGGUACUCCGAAAGGUAUGCCUGUUUGAGUGUCAUGAAAUCUCAAUCCCCUCGGGUUUUGUUACCCGGGGUGGACUUGGACUUGGGCGCUGCCACCCGUGGCUCGCCUCAAAUGUGUUAGUGGGAUGUAGUGUCCGCGACCAGACGUAAUAAGUUUCGUCGGGUUCGGCGCCUCCGCCCGCUCACAACCAACCAAUAUCUUCGGAAUAUCUUCUGACUCUGACCUCAAAUC
rnacentral:misc_RNA from 1 species